rnacentral:rRNA from 1 species
UACGUAGGGUGCGAGCGUUGUCCGGAAUUAUUGGGCGUAAAGGGCUCGUAGGCGGUCUGUCGCGUCGAAAGUGAAAACUCAGGGCUUAACCCUGAGCCUGCUUCCGAUACGGGCAGACUAGAGGUAUGCAGGGGAGAACGGAAUUCCUGGUGUAGCGGUGAAAUGCGCAGAUAUCAGGAGGAACACCGGUGGCGAAGGCGGUUCUCUGGGCAUUACCUGACGCUGAGGAGCGAAAGCAUGGGGAGCGAACAGG